rnacentral:tRNA from 1 species
GAGAAAGACAUAGUGGUUAUGAUAUUGGCUUGAAACCAGUUAGAGGGGGUUCGAUUCCCUCCCUUCUUA